rnacentral:lncRNA from 1 species
AAAGCAAAGCUAAGUGGUGAAUUUGACAUGAAAGACCUAGAUAAGGCUAAGAGAAUUCUAGGCAUGGAAAUCGAAAGAGAUAGGUCCAAUUCUGUCUUGUUUUUGCAUCUGUCUCCAUAUAUAUCUAAGGUGCUAAAGAAAUUUAAUAUGAAUAAUUGCAAACCUGUUACGUUGCCUCUCACUAAUCACUUUGUUUUAUCUAAAGAACAAGCUCCUUGCAAUGAACGUGAAGUAGAAUACAUGAGUAGAAUCCCGUAUUCUAAUGUGAUUGGUUCCAUAAUGUAUUUGAUGAUUUGCACUAUACCAGAUUUAGGUUUUGCUAUUAGUACUCUAAGCAUAUACAUGUCUAAUCCGGAUCCUGAACAUUGGGAAGCAUUAAAGUGGCUAUUAAGAUACUUAAAAGGUACUGGUGACGUAGGUUUAAAGUUUAGUGCUAAUAAGGAAGGUGUAAAAUUGAAGGACUUUGUAGAUGCUGACUAUGCGGGAGAUGAGGGUAAGAAAUCAACUUCCACUUACGUAUUUACCUUAUCUAACUCGUGUUAGUUGAAAAUCACAAUUACAACACAUUGUUGCACUAUCCACAACAGAGUCAGAAUAUAAGCUCCCACUGAAGCAAUUAAAAAGGCUCUAUGGCUUAGAUGUUUACUUCAUGAACUAUUUGUCUUGAAUGAUUAUGUGGUAGUGUGUUCUGAUAGUCAGCUGUCUAUAUAUUUAUGCAAAAACACUAUUUUUCAAGAUCGCACUAAACACAUUGAUGAUAGACUACACUUUAUUAGAGAUAUAGUAUCUCAAGAGAUUAAAAGACUGGAAAAGGUCCACGCACAUUACAACCCUUCAAAUAUGGGCACGAAAGUGCUACUGCUGGUAAACUUUAGAAGUUGCAAGGAUCUUCUAAAUAUCGGUACAGGUAAAUGAUUUUUAAUUUUAUUGGUUCUCUGUUAGAGUUGUUACUAACAGGAGACGUUUUCUUUUGCAGGUCCUUUGACACCAAGGUGAAGAUUGUUAGGCAAUUUGUUGUCAAACGACCUCUCGGGCGAUGAUGUAAACUCGAUUUUAAUUAAUUUCAAUCAGCAUUGACCAUAUGACUGAACGAUAUGUCAACACCACUAUUGAGAUGACC